UCUAGGACACCGAAAAACAUUCUCGUGCUUCAUAAAUCACUUGGCUGCGAGUGGAGUACUCACAACUCCUGAAUCUACUGUUGUGAGAAAAACAAAGAAGAAGCCGAGAAGUCGUAGCAUUGCUUCACUCGCAUCGACACUACCAAUUUUUUCUUGCGUUUUUCAUCUUCGUUUUUUCUCUGAUAUUCAAACCGAAAAAAAAACGAUACGCUUCUUCACAGUUUUUGUAGAUCAAGAAAUUGCAUCCGAUUCCAAUAAUUGCUGCAGAGGUAGGAUACCGAAGCGAGGGUACUGAACGUUGUCAGAUAAGAAUCUAUAUUCAAUCCAUAUAUUAGGUGUCGAAGUCAACCACCGAUUGAUCUGACAUUCCGAUCCUCUUUGUUUUUGUAAGGUGCCAUAACCACCUCCACUCCUUGGGAA
rnacentral:lncRNA from 1 species